UUUGGAAUAUUGGACAAUGGGCGAAAGCCUGAUCCAGCGACGCCGCGUGGACGAAGAAGGCCUUCGGGUUGUAAAGUCCUUUUGCUAGGGAACAAUAUUUUGAGCGUACCUAGAGAAUAAGAGGUUGCUAACUCUGUGCCAGCAGCAGCGGUAAUACAGAGACCUCAAGCGUUAUCCGGAAUCAUUGGGCGUAAAGCGUACCGACAGGUGGUCAUGCAAGUCAGAGGUGAAAUCUCCGAGCUUAACUCGGAAUCUGUCCUUUGAAACUGCACGACUAGAGGGGCAAAGAGGAAGCUGGAACAAACGGUGUAGUAGUGAAAUGCGUUGAUAUCGUUUGGAACACCAAUAGCGAAGGCGGGCUUCUGGGUGCCACCUGACACUGCUAGGACGAAAGCGUGGG
rnacentral:rRNA from 1 species